GAUGAAGAACGUAGCGAAAUGCGAUAAGUAAUGUGAAUUGCAGAAUUCAGUGAAUCAUCGAAUCUUUGAACGCACAUUGCGCCCUCUGGUAUUCCGGGGGGCAUGCCUGUUCGAGCGUCAUUACAACCCUCAAGCUUUGCUUGGUAUUGGACAUUGCCAGUUUCUGGCAGGUCUUAAAAUCAGUGGCGGUGCCAUUUGGCUUCAAGCGUAGUAAUUCUUCUCGCUUUGGAGAUCCAAGUGGUUACUUGCCAAUAACCCCCAAUUUUUUCAGGUUGACCUCGGAUCAGGUAGGGAUACCCGCUGAGUUUAAGCAUAUCAAUAAGCGGAGGA
rnacentral:misc_RNA from 1 species